rnacentral:rRNA from 1 species
GAUGAACGCUGGCGGCGUGCCUAAUACAUGCAAGUCGAGCGAACAGACGAGGAGCUUGCUCCUCUGACGUUAGCGGCGGACGGGUGAGUAACACGUGGAUAACCUACCUAUAAGACUGGGAUAACUUCGGGAAACCGGAGCUAAUACCGGAUAAUAUAUUGAACCGCAUGGUUCAAUAGUGAAAGACGGUUUUGCUGUCACUUAUAGAUGGAUCCGCGCCGCAUUAGCUAGUUGGUAAGGUAACGGCUUACCAAGGCAACGAUGCGUAGCCGACCUGAGAGGGUGGUCGGCCACACUGGAACUGGGACACGGUCCAGACUCCUACGGGAGGCAGCAGUAGGGAAUCUUCCGCAAUGGGCGAAAGCUUGACGGAGCAACGCCGCGUGAGUGAUGAAGGUCUUCGGAUCGUAAAACUCUGUUAUUAGGGAAGAACAAAUGUGUAAGUAACUAUGCACGUCUUGACGGUACCUAAUCAGAAAGCCACGGCUAACUACGUG